AGCGGGGUGGAGCAGCCAGGUAGCUCGACAGGCUCAUAACCUGUAGGUCGCAAGUUCAAAUCUUGCCCCCGCAACCA
rnacentral:tRNA from 1 species